UACGAAGGGGGCUAGCGUUGCUCGGAAUCACUGGGCGUAAAGGGUGCGUAGGCGGGUCUUUAAGUCAGGGGUGAAAUCCUGGAGCUCAACUCCAGAACUGCCUUUGAUACUGAAGAUCUUGAGUUCGGGAGAGGUGAGUGGAACUGCGAGUGUAGAGGUGAAAUGCGCAGAUAUCAGGAAGAACACCCGUGGCGAAGGCGGCUCUCUGGGACGGUACUGACGCUGAGACGCGAAAGCGUGGGGAGCGAACAGG
rnacentral:rRNA from 1 species